UACGAAGGGGGCUAGCGUUGCUCGGAAUCACUGGGCGUAAAGCGCACGUAGGCGGAUUGCUAAGUCAGGGGUGAAAUCCUGGAGCUCAACUCCAGAACUGCCUUUGAUACUGAAGAUCUUGAGUUCGGGAGAGGUGAGUGGAACUGCGAGUGUAGAGGUGAAAUUCGUAGAUAUUGGCUGGAACACCGGUGGCGAAAGCGGCUCUCUGGCCCGGUUCUGACGCUGAGGCGCGAAAGCGUGGGGAGCAAACAGG
rnacentral:rRNA from 1 species